rnacentral:tRNA from 1 species
GGAUUGUGGCUCAGUGGUAGAGUGCUUGCCUAACAUGUGUGAGGUACAGAGUUUGAUUCUCAGUACCA